CCCUUAGAGUUUGAUCCUGGCUCAGAACGAACGCUGGCGGCAUGCCUAACACAUGCAAGUCGAACGAGACCUUCGGGUCUAGUGGCGCACGGGUGCGUAACGCGUGGGAAUCUGCCCUUCGGUUCGGAAUAACUCAGGGAAACUUGAGCUAAUACCGGAUGAUGACUUCGGUCCAAAGAUUUAUCGCCGAGGGAUGAGCCCGCGUAGGAUUAGCUAGUUGGUGAGGUAAAGGCUCACCAAGGCGACGAUCCUUAGCUGGUCUGAGAGGAUGAUCAGCCACACUGGGACUGAGACACGGCCCAGACUCCUACGGGAGGCAGCAGUGGGGAAUAUUGGACAAUGGGCGAAAGCCUGAUCCAGCAAUGCCGCGUGAGUGAUGAAGGCCUUAGGGUUGUAAAGCUCUUUUACCCGGGAUGAUAAUGACAGUACCGGGAGAAUAAGCCCCGGCUAACUCCGUGCCAGCAGCCGCGGUAAUACGGAGGGGGCUAGCGUUGUUCGGAAUUACUGGGCGUAAAGCGCACGUAGGCGGCUUUGCAAGUC
rnacentral:rRNA from 1 species